GGUACAGAGUCAAUGUGGAGGCUAUAUACAGGGGGUACCGGUACAGAGUCAAUGUGGAGGCUAUAUACAGGGUAUUACGGUACAGAGUCAAUGUGGAGGCUAUAUACAGGGGGUACCGGUACAGAGUCAAUGUGGAGGCUAUAUACAGGGUAUUACGGUACAGAGUCAAUGUGGAGGCUAUAUACAGGGUAUUACGGUACAGAGUCAAUGUGGAGGCUAUAUACAGGGGGUACCGGUACAGAGUCAAUGUGGAGGCUGUAUACAGGGGGUACCGGUACAGAGUCAAUGUGGAGGCUAUAUACAGGGGGUACCGGUACAGAGUCAAUGUGGAGGCUAUAUACAGGGGGUACCGGUACAGAGUCAAUGUGGAGGCUAUAUACAGGGGGUACCGGUACAGAGGCAAUGUGGAGGCUGUAUACAGGGGGUACCAGGACUGAGUCA
rnacentral:lncRNA from 1 species